rnacentral:misc_RNA from 1 species
GAAAUAUGGAGUUGGAGGUGUUUGCAACGGUGGAGGUGGUGCAUCUGCUCUUGUGUUGGAACUUGUAUGAAGCCUGUUCGAGUCUCAACGUGUCGAUAAGAUACCGUAUCGGUCACACGGGUUGGUAGUAACUUGUUAUCUUCCUUUUUACCCUUCUAAUGAUGAUAGUCUUAGCCUUUAGGGGUCUGGAAAAGUAGAGCCUUUUGUUAAUUUGACAAAGCUUAAAGUGAAGCAGAG